UACGUAGGGUGCAAGCGUUAUCCGGAAUUACUGGGCGUAAAGAGCUCGUAGGUGGUUUGUCGCGUUGUUCGUGAAAACUCACAGCUCAACUGUGGGCGUGCGGGCGAUACGGGCAGACUUGAGUACUGCAGGGGAGACUGGAAUUCCUGGUGUAGCGGUGGAAUGCGCAGAUAUCGAGAGGAACACCUGCGGCGAAGGCGGGUUGCUGGGCUGACACUGACGCUGAUGCGCGAAAGCUAGGGGAGCGAACGGG
rnacentral:rRNA from 1 species